rnacentral:lncRNA from 1 species
GGCCGAAUAUGCAUGUCUAUGUUGGGGCCGAUUUCAACACUUAAUACAUUCUACAAGUAUGGUCACUUGUAUUGACUAAACACCCUUUUGUUUCAAGUUCAAAACUUGGCUAAUACACACAUAUAUACACUAGUAAAGCAUCCUCUCCCUUUCCAUCAAUUUAACACAUGCAUUACUCAUUAAUAUACAAAAAUUAUAUUCGGCCUUAGCACACAACUUGCUAGCCGAUUCUUCUCUAUCUAGCAACCAAUGCACAUAUGUGCUCACUCAAAAAUGCUAAAAAGAAGAUUCAAGAAUCAUCAAUCCACC